UGCCAGCCGCCGCGGUAAUACAGAGGGUGCAAGCGUUAAUCGGAAUGACUGGGCGUAAAGGGCGCGUAGGCGGAAAGACAAGUGCGUUGUGAAAGACUCGGGCUUAACCUGAGGAUGUCAUCGUAGACUGUCUUUCUAGAGUGAGAGAGAGGUUAGGGGAAUUUCCGGAGGAGCGGUGAAAUGCGUAGAUUUCGGAAGGAACAUCAGUGGCGAAGGCGACUGACUGGCUCUUCACUGACGCUGAGGCGCGAAGGCGUGGGUAGCGAACAGGAUUAGAUA
rnacentral:rRNA from 1 species